CAAACAAUAACAAUAAAUAGUUUUUUGGCCGAAUAAGAAUAAAUAAAAGUAAAAAAUUUAUUGGCAGGAGACUACGAAAGGAGGUGCAGAUCUAGUUUUUAAGCAUACAGUCACAACUGUGAGAUAGAGUCAAACAUAGAUUGAGAGGUUAAGAGCUUCAAUGGCGAUAAAAAUCUUGAUAGCGUCAAUCUUAGUAAUUGCAGCAUCUCUCUGUUGGGUAUCGUCGGCUGAUUCGCCUGAAGCAGCUUUCGUCCAAAAGACCAUCUCGGCCCACAAGAUCGUCAUCUUCUCCAAGUCCUACUGCCCGUACUGUAGGAGGGCAAAAUCUGUGUUCAAAGAGUUGAACCAGGUUCCAUUCGUUGUGGAGCUUGAUGAACGAGAUGAUGGGUGGAACAUUCAGGAUGCCUUGAGUGAGAUUAUUGGUAGGCGUACUGUACCACAGGUUUUUGUAAAUGGAAAGCACAUCGGAGGCUCAGAUGAUACUGUUGAAGCAUAUCAGAGUGGAAAUUUGGCUAAGCUGUUAGGUAUUGAGGUAGAGGCUAAGGAUGAUCUCUAAGUUCAUUUAGCAGAAGUGGAUGCUCUUUUCUAGAGUGAAUUUUGAUUUCAUUGCCUGUAAUGUAUCUCCUUCUUUUACUUCAAGAAGAUUAUGGAGCCUGCUUGCAUUAAUUGGAUCAUGUGUUAAAUGAUUCAUGGCUUUUAUAAGGAUAAUUAUAUGCCUCACCCUUCACACUUAGCAUUGUGUUAAAAUGAAGAGCACCAAGCCCUGUUUCAACCUCUAGAAGCAGGAGCUAUAGGAACGUGCUUAGAUUUUUUUUUUUUUCAUUUUAUUUGGCUGUCACAAUUAGAUUUCUUACUCCAUCAUGAACUAUUUAAUUUUAAUACCUUGUUUUGAAGCUACGCCUUUGCUUUGCAUUACUUUUGAUUAUGCUUUAAUUAUACCAUUCACAUCCAUAGAGUUCACAGCUCAUGAUUGAUUCCUACAUACGUGAGAAGUGGUAAUAAAAAUAUUGAAAAGAAAUUGACAAAAAAGUAUUUGGUGGGGGGGCAUAUCCAUCGUAUCAUUCCUAACUAAUUAAUAAUUGAAGGCAAAUUAAUAUGUUUUGGAUUACUUAUUACAAUGCUAGUAUGAAUUCGCAAGAUAGAUUUGCUGAUACUUUAUGAACCUGUAAACAUCUAUUUGUUGAUCCAUUAUUUGAAUUGUUAUCGAUCUUUUUCGUCUAUGGAGCAAUUAUUAGACUGUUUCAGAAACUUCAAACUUUAAGUUAAGUUCUAGGAUUCUUGGUGGUUAUCUAAGGAUUAGGCAAGAAAAAAAAUUUAAGGGAGAACUUUUACUAGUGUAAGUGGGAUUCUCACUCCUUGUUUUUUUACAAUAAUAUGUGUCUAUUUAUAUUUGACAUAUCACAGUCUUAUCAGAGAUAUGCUUGGAACUCAACUUUUAUUAGGAGUUAGAUACGCCUAUUUAAGGAGCAUUUCACCUACAAUUCUUUUUACUACAAUCUUACAUUUGUUCUAUCAUAAUAAAGAAUUAUGUAGGAGUCAUCCACUUAUAAAUGUGAGCUCCAUAUAAAAUUUUGGUGUACCUUACAUUAUUCUGAAUUGUGAUUGGUUAAUUGUAUUACAAUUAGUGUAGAUAAUAUGCUCCGCCUAUUUAAAUGUAUUAACAGGUUUGAACCAAUUUGAUUGGACUUGUAUGUCAACUUCUCUAACACAAAAGAUAUUGGGUAUCAAUGUAUGCUAUCUUUGAAAAUGCUAUAAGUUGCAAUUAUCUUUCAUAAAAAAAUCAAAAUCAUGUGACUAAACAAGAAAGACUUGUUUGAUAAGUGUUAUAUCAAAUUUAUAAAAUUUUCCACUACAAUAUCAAUUUUAAUGAGCUACUUGGUUUUAAAUUUUUGUUUUAUUGUGUAGAAAAGAAUUUCUAUUAAUUGGAUCUUUGUAUUGUGGGAUUAUCAUUUGAUGAUUCAUCUGGGGUUGGUGUUGUGAUUUUAAGAUGAUCGGUUGGGUGUUUAGAAUAGGUGUAUG